GAUGAACGCUGGCGGCGUGCUUAACACAUGCAAGUCGAACGGGAAAUAUUUCAUUGAGACUUCGGUGGAUUUGAUUUAUUUCUAGUGGCGGACGGGUGAGUAACGCGUGGGUAACCUGCCUUAUACAGGGGGAUAACAGUCAGAAAUGGCUGCUAAUACCGCAUAAGCGCACAGAGCUGCAUGGCUCAGUGUGAAAAACUCCGGUGGUAUAAGAUGGACCCGCGUUGGAUUAGCUAGUUGGUGGGGUAACGGCCCACCAAGGCGACGAUCCAUAGCCGGCCUGAGAGGGUGAACGGCCACAUUGGGACUGAGACACGGCCCAGACUCCUACGGGAGGCAGCAGUGGGGAAUAUUGCACAAUGGGGGAAACCCUGAUGCAGCGACGACGCGUGAAGGAAGAAGUAUCUCGGUAUGUAAACUUCUAUCAGCAGGGAAGAUAGUGACGGUACCUGACUAAGAAGCCCCGGCUAACUACGUG
rnacentral:rRNA from 1 species